ACACCUUUGUCAGAUGGGUAAACUGCAAAAUUCUGUAGGUUGCCUGUGCACUCUGAUGCUAGUCUCUUUUGUUGUGUAAAAGCUCAUUAGUUUAAUUAAAGCCCAUUUGUCAAUUUUGACUUUUGUUGCAAUUUUUUUUCUCUUUUUAAUGAAAUAU